UACGAAGGGGGCUAGCGUUGUUCGGAAUUACUGGGCGUAAAGCGUGCGCAGGCGGCUUCUCAAGUCAGGGGUGAAAGCCCAGAGCUCAACUCUGGAAUUGCCUUUGAGACUGAGUGGCUUGAGUACGAGAGAGGUGAGUGGAAUUCCCAGUGUAGAGGUGAAAUUCGUAGAUAUUGGGAAGAACACCGGUGGCGAAGGCGGCUCACUGGCUCGUAACUGACGC
rnacentral:rRNA from 1 species